UGAGCAAUCUGCCCUUGACUCUUGGAUAACUGCGGGAAACUGUAGCUAAUACCGGAUACGACCUGAAGAGGCAUCUUUUUGGGUGGAAAGAAUUUUUGGUCAAGGAUGAGCUCGCGGCCUAUCAGCUAGUUGGUGAGGUAACGGCUCACCAAGGCAACGACGGGUAGCUGGUCUGAGAGGAUGGCCAGCCACAUUGGGACUGAGACACGGCCCAGACUCCUAGGAG
rnacentral:rRNA from 1 species